UCUACAUACAAAAGAAACGGAUAAACUAAUAAAAGAUCAAAUUUGACUAAUUUACAAGAUCAACCAUCCAAUAAAUACAACAUCAAAAUUGCGAAUCCCUUAAAGAAUUAGGAUUUGGUGUUUAUAACCUACACAAUCCUUUACAAUUAAAAUCCACUUCAACAAGCUAUUCUUAGGCUAUUCACUAUUGACAACUUGUCAUACAAAGUAAAUUCAUUAUUCUCAUCACCUUCAAAUACAUUUAUUUAUUAUAUUAAAUUAGAAAAAAAAAACAAUUUUCAUACCCCAAUUAAAAAGCAAAAAAAAUGAUAAGUAUAUUCUCAUAUAAAAUUCUUUAAUAUAUAUAUAUAUAUAAUCUUUUUUUUUUUGUUCUUCUUCACAUCCAAAAUUAAGGCCACCAAAAAAAAAAAAAAAAACCACAAACUUCUCCCACCAGCAAACAAACAAACAAACAAAAGGCAAACCCCCCUUCUUCUUAUUCUUCUUCUUCACCAAACUAAACAACAACAUCAAACAUUAUUUCACAAACUUUAUUUUUCCUCAGAAAAUUAAAUUACAAUAAAGAUCAGAUUAAUUCUCUUCCAAAUUUAGGUGUUUCUGAUUGGAAUUUGGUAUAGAAGAGGGUGAAAUAUAUAAUGAGAUUCAAAAAGGGUACCAAAGUGGAGGUAUUGACCCAAAAGGAGGUAUCAUCAGGAUCUUGGCGUUGCGCCGAGAUAGUGGGUGGUAAUGGUCAUAACUAUGCUGUUAAGUAUGAAGGGGAUAUGGAGCUGUUAGGGAAAGCAAAGGUCGAAAGAGUGCCUCGGAAAACGGUUAGGCCUUGCCCUCCUCCGGUGGAUGUUUUGCAGGAUUGGGUAUCUGGUGAUGUUGUUGAGGUUUUCCACAGCUUUUCUUGGAAAAUGGCCUCAGUUGUAAAGGUGCUGGGAUAUCAUUACCUUUUGGUUAGGCUACUUGGAUCGUCAAUUGAACUUAAAGCAAAUAUGUUUGAUGUUCGAGCAAGACUUUGCUGGCAGGAUGAUGAAUGGAUUGUGAUUGGAAAGGCUUCUAAUAAAUGUGAAGAUUUGAGGUUCAGGAUUCCGUCAUCUCAAAUGGUUAAUAAUCAGUUGCAGAAAUCUGAUGUUAUUGUGGGAAGACAUAUGAAGGGUUACCAUUUUGGUACUAGAAAUACCAGUAAGGCCCUCGAUUCUAAUGUGAUUGCUUCCAGAACUCUGAAAAGGAAGCAAUCUGAUUGCCAUCUUCAGAUUGAAGCAUAUGCAGGACCCAGGCAGAGAUCUAGAGUGGAAAAAAGAGAGGACAUGUGGCAUCAGUUCAAUGUUAUGCAACAUCCACAAUUACCUGAAAAGGUAGAUGACGUUGCUUCUUCACGAGAAUUGCUGCAUGAAAAAUGCAUGCACCGUUCUUUUAUCAACAGAGUAACUGGAUGUUCUGAGUUGAUUUUGGAGAGGGAGAAAACAGAUGGUGCUGUUGGAUGUUCACGUUCAAUAAGCUUAGAAUCAGAUGAUGAUAAUAGUGUCUCGUCUUCUGUUGCUAGUUGUAGUGUCUAUGGGAAUUACUCCCAUAAAUUGCAUCGUAUUUUUGCCACAGGUCCUUUUGAAGAUAAUGACAGUCAACAUAGUGACGCUGAGUCUUCUUGUCAGUUGAGACCUGACGAAAGAAAUUCUUUUCUUUCUGCAAAAAAGGAGUUGUCAGAAGAAAUACAUAGGGCCAUAGUAGGGGGCUUAUGCACCUUGGUUCCAGAUGCAAAAAGAUGAUACUGGGAUCUGCCACCUUUCUUUUGGUGUGACUGCCAGUAUCUGCAUCAAAUUCCUUGCUCUAGAAGCUUAUGAUGCUAUUGAUAUCUCUGUUACGCAUGGCUGGCUGCUGCAUUCUUCCAUAUGGGCCCAUGUUAGAGCCCUGAAUGCUUGUCUGCUGAAGGAUGUAAAGCUAGAACCUUGUGUCUGCAUUCUGCAACAAGGUAUCCAAAUUUGUUGAUGCUUAAAAAGGUAUUCUAACAUGCUUAGUAACAUGACCAAACUCUUGUGCUUCAGCACCUUGGAAUGUUAUAAUUUUGUCAUUUCUGGCGAUUCUGGAGGAUAAUAAAAAUAGUAAGUCCAGUUUACCAGGUUAACAUCUAUAUCAUGGGUACAACUAACUUUAUGAACCUUGAGAAGUUUUGCAGAUCAUAAUCAAGGUGCCAACACCUUUUUUGAGCAUUUUUGGCCCCAGAUAACGAUCUCCUUGCUCAGGGGUACUUAAACAGUUGCAAACUUGCAAUUGCUCCCUGUAGCCGUCAACACUACUUGAAGAAGUCCAGCAGCGAAGGCGAUUAAUGGCGAGUUAGUAGUUAAGAAUGUAACUAUCCAUGGAAGGUUUCGUACCCGGAAUUUAGCUACCUCAUUAUGAGAUCAAGGCUUAUAUUUCACAGAAGAUUUUUCUUUCAGCAUCUUUCAUGUGGGAAAACGAUGUAAACAUGUGUGUUCAUUUAAGUGAUUCAAAUUGAGUUGUCACUACUGUCAUACUAUUAAUUCAAAUUACACAUAAUCCUUUUUCCGAUGUAAAA